rnacentral:rRNA from 1 species
AGCCAACGAUCUGUAGCUGGUCUGAGAGGACGAUCAGCCACACUGGGACUGAGACACGGCCCAGACUCCUACGGGAGGCAGCAGUGGGGAAUUUUGGACAAUGGGCGAAAGCCUGAUCCAGCAAUGCCGCGUGCAGGAUGAAGGCCUUCGGGUUGUAAACUGCUUUUGUACGGAACGAAAAGCUUCGGGUUAAUACCCUGGAGUCAUGACGGUACCGUAAGAAUAAGCACCGGCUAACUACGUGCCAGCAGCCGCGGUAAUACGUAGGGUGCAAGCGUUAAUCGGAAUUACUGGGCGUAAAGCGUGCGCAGGCGGUUUUGUAAGACAGAGGUGAAAUCCCCG